GGGGAAUUUUCCGCAAUGGGCGAAAGCCUGACGCAGCGACACCGCGUGAGGGAAGAAGGCCUCAGGGCUGUAAACCUCUUUUAUGAGGGAAGAGAUAGGACGGUACCUCAUGAAUAAGAAUCGGCUAACUACGUGCCAGCAGCCGCGGUAAUACGUAGGAUUCGAGCGUUGUCCGGAUUUACUGGGCGUAAAGGGUGUGUAGGCGGCACGGCAAGUCUCAUGUGAAAUCUCCCGGCUCAACUGGGAGGGGUCAUGGGAAACUGCCGAGCUUGAGGGCAGCAGAGGAAAGCGGAAUUCCGGGAGUAGUGGUGAAAUGCGUAGAUACCCGGAGGAACACCAGAGGCGAAGGCGGCUUUCUGGGCUGUGCCUGACGCUGAGACACGAAAGCGUGGGGAGCAAACCGGAUUAGAUACCCGGGUAGUCCACGCCCUAAACGAUGGAUACUAGAUAUGGGGGGUAUCGACCCCUCCCGUGUCGGAGUUAACGCGAUAAGUAUCCCGCCUGGGGAGUACGGCCGCAAGGCUAAAACUCAAAUGAAUUGACGGGGGCCCGCACAAGCGGUGGAGCAUGUUGUUUAAUUCGAGGCAACGCGAAAAACCUU
rnacentral:rRNA from 1 species